rnacentral:rRNA from 1 species
AUUGAACGCUGGCGGCAGGCCUAACACAUGCAAGUCGAACGAGUGGCGGAUGGGUGAGUAAUGUCUGGGAAACUGCCCGAUGGAGGGGGAUAACUACUGGAAACGGUAGCUAAUACCGCAUACCAUCGGAUGUGCCCCGAUGGGCUUAGCUAGUAGGUGGGGUAACGGCUCACCUAGGCGACGAUCCCUAGCUGGUCUGAGAGGAUGACCAGCCACACUGGAACUGAGACACGGUCCAGACUCCUACGGGAGGCAGCAGUGGGGAAUAUUGCACAAUGGGCGCAAGCCUGAUGCAGCCAUGCCGCGUGUGUGAAGAAGGCCUUCGGGUUGUAAAGCACUUUCAGCGAGGAGGCGUUACUCGCAGAAGAAGCACCGGCUAACUCCGUGCCAGCAGCCGCGGUAAUUC